GGGCUGCACCCAUGGCACAUGUAAGUUCUCAGGCUAGGGGUUGAAUUGGAGAUACAGCUUACAGCCUACACCACAGCCACAGCAAUGCAGGAUCCGAGCCACAUCUGCAACCUACACCACAGCUCAUGGCAACACUGGAUUCUUAAUCCACUGAGCGAGGUCAUGGAUCGAACCCACAUCCUCACCGAUACUAGUUAACCACAACGGUAACUCCCCAGAGCCUUUUUUGUAGUAGUCCUGGAUACGAAAUCCAGUCAUUAUCAAUUUGAUCUCUUUUGACCCACAAGGAUCUGAAAAAAGCCAAGACUGGUUUUAUACCUCCUGCUGGUAUUUCUGGUGGAGCACGCAGAUGGCACCCUCUCCACACAUCCCGACAUUCACUUGGGAAUACUAAGGAGGCUUAGCCUUUGAGCCAUGGACUUAACAUUUCCUGACAAUAUUGCAUGUGCAUUAGAAUCAACUGGAUGCCUGUUGACAUUCAGACUGCUGAACCCCACCCCUGGAGUUUCUGACUCAGCUAGCUUGGGGUAUAGUAUGAGAAUUUGCAUUUCUAACAAGUUCUCAGGUGAUGCUAAUGCUGCUGGUCCAGGGGCCCCACCUGAAACCACUGCCCUGGCUUCUUCCCUGUGAUGGGGCUAUUGAUAUAUCUCACAUUUAAAGCAAAACCAGCUGAGGUGCUUUUACCAGCCAGAAUGGCUAUCAUCAAAAAGUCUACCAACAAUAAUUGCUGGAGAGGAUGUGGAGAAAAAGGAACCCUAUUACACUGUUGGUGGGAAUGUAAAUUGGUGCAAUCACUGUGGAAAACAGUAUGGAAAUUCCUCAGAAAACUAAAAAUAGAAUGACCAUUUGAUCCAGCAAUCCCUCUCCUGGGCAUCUACCCAGAGAAAACCAUGACUCGAAAAGACACAUGUACUCCAAUGUUCAUUGUAGCACUCUAUACAAUAGCCAAGACAUGGAAACAACCUAAAUGUCCAUCAACAGACGAGUGGAUCAAGAAGAGGUGGUACGUAUACACAAUGGAAUAUUACUCAGCCAUUAAAAGGAAAGCAAUAACAGCAAUUUUGGAGUGACAUGGAUGGACCUAGAAAUUACCAUGCUAAGUGAAGUCAAUCAGGCAAUGAGAUACCAACAUCAAAUGCUAUCACUGACAUGUGGAAUCUAAAAAAAGGACACAAUGAACUUCUUUGCAGAACAGAUACUGACUCACAGACUUUGAAAAACUUAUAGUUUCCAAAUGAGACAAGUUGGGGGAUAAGGGGAUACCCUGAGGGUUUGGGAUGGAAAUGCUAUAAAAUUUGGUUGUGAUGAUUGUUAUACAAUUAUAAAUGUAAUACAAUUCAUUGAGUAUUUAAAAAAUAAAAAAUAAAAUAAAUUUGUUUGGAAAAAAAAGAUUUAGGUGCUUUUAGACCCCAUUUUAGCAGUUUUGGAAUGCUAUGUUUUGUGCUUCAUAACUUCUACCUCUCUGUUCUCUACUAUUCAUUUUUGCAGAAGUGAACAGGAAGGACUCUUUAUGUAAACAUACUGCUUCAUACUCAUGCCAGGACAUAGUUACCUAAACAAGCACUGUUUCCUUCUCCUGGAGGACCUAGCUGUCAUUCUCACGGAGCUGCCACAGCCAGCCUUUAACUAACCACUGUCUUCACAGCUCAUCCUGCUUGGCUUGAAUGAACUCAACAGUUCAUCUUGAUGGGAUGGAUGGAACCUAUUCAUUCAUUUGUUUACAUGUUUACUGAGCACCUACUAUAUGCCAAGCCCUUUUCUGAAAAACAGUUUUAAAGAACCAUGACCCUUUCCCUCAAGGAGUUUAUAAUCUUAGGUUGAGUGUGAAUUUGAGCAGAACUGAUAAAAAACAAAAUGAAAUACAUGAAUCCAUUGUGAUAGGUAAGUAUCCAUUGUGACAGAUGAAAAAAAAAAAAAACAUAUGAAGAAGGUCCCCUUUAGGUUAGAUGACCAGAGAAAGCCCCUGGAGGAGGUAACACUUAAAUUUAGAGAAGCUGGAAGUCCAUUCCCAUCUGUGUACCCUGAGCCAAACAUACUCUUAAGGCCACUCUGGGAGCUUUAAAAAUGUUUAUCUGCUACUUAUAAACAAUAAAAAGAGUAAUACAUUUCAGGCUUAGAUUACUGUUUCUAUUAAGGAAGAGAAAAAGCCAUUCCUAGGCAUACUGGUUAAAGCAAGCUGGAGGUCUGGUGAAUAAAUACAAUUUAUAAUGUAAAAUGAAGGAUCACUGUCCACUUUUAAAAGUAGUGCUUAUCAGCAUGCCUAACUUUUCUAAAAUAGUCUAGAAAAUAAUAAUAAAAUCCAAAAAAUUAUGAAACAUCCCAAGGUUUGAAAGAGUGAUAUUCAUGUAAAUGCAUAAAUUGUUCAGUACAUAUUUACUAAAUCCUCAGAACUUCCCAAACCAUAGGGAUGCCUAACCCUUCCCACUGACAAAUAUUAGCUAAACAUCUAUGAUGCACUUACCACUUCCUCAAGCUGGUCACAGUUUUGCUUCUUUUCACUACUGCCAUUUCGCUUCCUUACUCUGCCAACAAACAUUAUGACCAAAUGAUCAGAAGAUCAUGAUGGUGGGCAUAGGUUUUUGUUUUGUUUCUUUUUUUUCUUAUGUGUGCUUUAGAUCUUGAAAAUCCACUACCCUACAAGUUGCAUCUACUACAUUUCUUGCACCAGUCUAUGAAGCAAAGCAACACAUUUUUACAGCUAGUUAUCACUAGAACUUCCUGCAAACCUCUUGCUCAAUAUUACUGGAUGGCCAAGGCCUAAAUAUCAUCUUUAUCUUUCAAAAUGGAUGGAUUUUCAACAGCUCUGUGUCUUCAGCCCUAGAAUUUUAGUUCCAAUUCCAGAUAAUUAUACUUUCUAGGUCUCUAGUGCCUGCAAACCCUUGUCUGAAGAACCUCAACUGGAAGACACAUAUGCCCACUUUUAGUGGAGCAAUACUGAACAGGCAAUGCUGUAUAGUUCGUACCAAUUUUACCACUGACUUUCUAAAACUCUUAGAGGAAACAAGUCUCAAGAAUUUGCUCAUCCACUGAAUCAACUCCCCAAAACAUACUGCACACCUACUGUUAAUUCAUCCCAUAAACAAUGCAGAAGACUUUCUACAAAGGAAUACAUGGAGGUGUCCUUUCUAACACGUGUUUGUUUUAACUUAGAGUGAUAAUACCAGGGCACUACCAGUUGACUAGACCUAUAACCAUGUCUCAAUUAUUGCUUCAGGUCUUUCCAGGGGUAACCUAAUUUGGGUAGGAUUCCUGUGUUUUCCAGUGUCAUCUCCUUUAUAUGCCUCUGAAGAUGUUAGACAAAAGUGGAUACAAUUGAGAAUGGAAUACACAAAAUCAAGCCUGUUUAUACUGAAAGGAAUCUGAAUAAAAUACUUCAUCAAUGGCACACAAUUGUGAUUACACAGUACUUCAAAAAUGUCAUCAAUAUUGAUUAAUGAGAACCUACUAAAUAGCACAGGAAAAUCUACUCAAUAAUUUGUAAUAACCUAUAUGGGAAAAAAAGAAUGGAUAUAUUCACAUGUAUGACUGAUUCACUUUGCUGUAUACCUGAAAUUAAUACAUUAUAAAUCAUCUAUAGUCCAAUAAAAUUAAAUUUUAAAAAAGUCAUCAAUAGUUUAAGCUUACCAUUUAUUUUAAAAAAGAAAAAUACUAAAUAAAACAAAAGGCUAGGUUUCCUCCCUUCCUGAUUUCCCUGGCAUUUAGGAGGAUUGCCAUAGAUAAGUCCACAAGUGAACAGCUGAGCUACAUAAUGUACAGUUCUAACUGGGCAGCUUCUAAAAAAAAAAUAGAAGGACUCCUUCCAACUCCAGUUAAUGUGCUUGAUACAAAGGGAACAUGUUUCUGCAACAAACACAUUUAGAGCUUGGUGUUUUACAGAGUAACUAAUGAAGGCUCAAGCCAUAGAAAAAUUUAUUUUUCCAGGAUAUUACAUGUUCUGACUCACCAUUUUAACAGAAGUACAAGUAAAAUGAAAAUGCAAAUUAAACGUAUACGUGUUUAUGACUUAACCAGUAUAUGACAAGGCUACUUUUGGCUUCUGGCUUUAUUAACCAGGAAGAGAAGCCUGGAAAACCACCAUACAUUUGUAUUUCUAUUCAAGUAGUUCCCUCUCUCCAAGUACUGGUUGGAGCAAAGUAUUAAUUCUAAGUCCAGUAAUACAUAUAAGCCAAGAGAUCAUAGUGAAUGGAUGAAAGAAGACAUUGUAUCCUUAAUUAUCUGCCUGAACAAGAUUUUUUAAAAAUACCAUCUCACAUGUGAUUACUCAUUAAUAAUUAUUGCAAACAAAUCUUUGUUAACGUCUAUGAUUUCUAGAAAUCAAAAAUGCACUUUCACCAUAGAAACUCUGGCCAACCUUGAAUAAAAGCUUCUUAAGAAUUCCGCAUUAGCCAUGGUCCUCCUUCUAAACACCUGUGCGACUGUGAGCGAGUCAGUUAACCUGUUCUGCAACCUGUUCAAGCCUGGGUUUCUUACCAAUAAAAAGUGAGUCUCUGAACUAGUUAACAUAUGAAUUCUUUGUAAGAAAUCUACCUCAGUCCCCAAUGGCUGAAUCUGUUAAUAAUAUUUAAGACCCAUUCUAAUUCUUUAUCAUCAUUCCUCUAAACAUAAAAAACAUGACUUUGGGGCAUAUAGGAAGAAGAGUGUUAAGAGGUUUCUUAAAGGGAACAGAAACUAGAUUGGUUUUGUUAAUUAGGUUCCCCCUAUGAAACCACCAGCCAGUAUUAGCAGCUGCUGAAAUUUACCCAAAGAGUGGUUGGUUUCUCCAUCUUAAGACUUACUCUUUCAUAUAAUGGCACAAGUCAACUUCUAGGAAUGUAUCUUUCAGCCAGUUACACAUUACUAACAACAAAGGGUGGGGAUGGGAGGCAAGCAAAAGAGCAUUGCAGAGACUAUGUGAGUCUACAUUUACACAAAGAAAAACUCUUCUUUAUAUGAUGUAUUCAGGAGAGCCAUGAUGGGCACCUGCACCUGCUAGGUUCAGGAGGCACCUUUUGUAGGUAAAUUAUCUUAUGGAUCAGCAGAUACUGGGAAUUUACACGAUAAGAUGCAGUCUAUGUAUUAUGGCAGGUGUUUUCCUUAUGAGUGAUUUCACUCACCUCCUUCAUUCAACAACUCUUUAUUGAGUACUUUCUAUAUGCAAACCCCAAAGCUAAAGAAUGAAUAAAUAAAGAUGAGAGUUGAUCAUCUGGAAUAUUCAAGUUAAUCCUGACGUUCAUUUAAGAGUAGUUCAGCCCCUCAGAAUAUUUCCAAGUCAAAAAAUAAUACUAAACAAUCUAGAUGCUAAGCUCAAGUGCCCUUGGACUUUUUUUCCCUUCCAUUACAUGGUAUGUGGCAAAAGGGGAGUAAAUUACAGGUGUGGUAGGUAAUUUGCUAAAUCCCUUUAGUUAAUACAGGGUGAAAAGUCUUCUAUCCCCUAAAGGAAAUAACAUUGGCUCACAAAUAUAUUGAUAAGCAUCGCAGACUGCUAAAACCAGAAAAAGCAAAGUAAUUCCAUACCAACCUCUUGUUUUACAGGUGAGAGACUUGAGGCUCAGAGAUGGUAUGAUCUGUUCCAGGUUAUACAGCCAAAAAAGUGCCAGAACCAAUACCCAGGUCACCAGCAGGCAGGCUUAACAGUCCCUAGUAUAUUGUACAUGUUCUAGCCCAUGACAUGCCCUCAGUGCUAAAGGCAUAAUCCACAGAAUGAAGGACUAGACAUCAGGAACUCUGAGUUCUGGUCUUAGAAACAUGAUACCACAGAAAACUUGGAUCACUUAUCUAAGCCUCAGUUUCCUCAUCUGUCGAAAUGUGAACAGUAGUUCAUGGUGAAACAGUGCAGACCCCAAUAAAGGCAGAGGUCUGGCCACAGUCAAAACAUUAUACAAGUACAGAACUGGUACUGGGUGAGGAUAGCGGUGAUGGAGAUUUCAGAGAACCUGGCUCUGACUCUAAUUAUCCACUGUAACCCUGAGAUGUCACUGAAUUUGUGAGCCUCCCAUUCCUCCUGUGAACAUGUGGUUAAUAAUCAUUGCCCUGCUUCCCUCAGAAAUGCUCAGAAUUAAAUGCUUUUCACUGUUCUCUGAAAAGCAUUUACAAAGAGCAGGCAUUGAUGCAAAUAUAGGUAUUCUUAUCAAAUCCUCUAGUCUUCUUAAUUUGGACAAACAUGUAACACAGUUUCAUUACUUAUUUCUUAACAGUUUCCCUUCUCAACUAAAAGGUCAUUUACAUCAGUCUCAGACUUACCAGUCUUCAUAAGUCCCCAAAGAACGCACCAUUUCCCUCAGCCCAGAGAUCAUGCAUGAUGCUUACUCAACUUCCCACUGGCACAGACCUGGCUGAGAAAGGUUUAUUUCCAGGGCCUCCUUUCCGCUGGAAACACUCGGACAAAAGCUUCCAUGAACACUAUCCCACUUCAUCACACUGGAGUGGUAAUGAAACAAACCCUUUGGCUUUUCUCUACUCCAACAACUGCGGAACACUUCAGCCUUACACAGACCUAGACAGAGGUCUGAGUGGAUGCUUUUCACAGGAGGGGCAACAAAGGUUCCCCAAACCCAUGCUCAGCAGUACCAAUGGGGAGACUGCUUCUUCUUUGCAGAAAACUAACACAUUCUUAGGCCCAGCCCGCCAUUCAAGGAUCAUCCAUCCACCUUAGAGUUAGGGUGUCCAGCAGGCUGAGAAUGUCAUAGAAAAAUAGUGGGAGGGGGGGUAGUUCUGGUCUGCGACACUAUCUUUAAAAAAAAGCAUCACAGUAACCAGCAUUUUCUUGCUGAGAGCCCUGAUUUCAGUUGAUCAAAAAAAACAAUUCAUCAGUCUAUCCAAACAACUUCUCUGGAACAGGUUUCUCUCUAACCGCGACGGGUACCAGAGACUAGGGUGGGGGACGGUUAAGAAUUGACAACAGGCUUAUCUGCAUAGAUGAGCGAUAAGCAGACAUUUGUUGUCUCCCUGUUUUGACGAUUCCUGGCAUCGGUAUGGCAAAUCAAACUCCAGCAUUCUCCCUCUCUGGUGCCCCCACCAUCCCCCCGCCCCAACCCAGCUGUUGAAGUGUCACGUUGACGGGGCUGGGGGAACAGAAGCAGGGGAAACGCAGAAGUCUGUUGCUGCAUUUAGACUGGAAACACACAGCACCUGUUCAAUCCGGCCCCGGCGCCAGAACUGACCAGAACACCGAACUGCAAGCCCCUCUAGAGAUCCCAGAGGCGCCUAACAAGUUCGCCCGCUGUUUGAUACCAAGGAGGGGUGGUGGGAGAUUUCUCUGCAGCCAAACUCAACUGACUCCCCUGAAAAAAGGGAGGGGGCUCCUGCUUAACUGAACCCAGAGUGAUGCUCAAGUGUCAGAGCGGCCCCAGGGGAUCCGGGUGGUGAGCGGGUGGGUGCCCGCGGGGAGCGCGCAGCCGAGAGCCCCAGCGGAAUGAAGGUCCUGCUUCGAUGGCCACGCGCGCCUCCUCCAGCAGACCCCUAGCACGAGGCGGAUAAAGUGCGAGCGUUGAGAGACCUCCAGGAUUCAUCGGAGACUUAGAGCCCCCAACCUGAGCCCAGACUGAGGGUCGUGGGAGGACGGGCCCGGCACGCGCAGGAAACUUACCUCACCCGGACAGCAUUCGGGCGCCUCC
rnacentral:lncRNA from 1 species